CAUGCUUGUUAUACACCAGAGAAGUGUGAAGCUUGGAACUGUUGGAGAACAGGCUUCGUGUUGGUGGUGUGCUGCCAGACCUGACUCCAAUUUUGUUGCACUUGGAUGUCAGGAUGGAACCAUUGCUUACUACCAGCUGAUAUUCUCUACAGUGCAUGGUCUUUACAAAGAGCGCUAUGCAUUCAGAGAAAAUAUGACUGAUGUCAUUAUUCAGCAUUUGAUAACUGAGCAGAAAGUGCGGAUCAAAUGCCGAGAUCUUGUGAAGAAAAUAGCUAUAUACAAGCACCGUUUAGCAGUCCAGCUUCCUGAACGGAUCAUCAUUUAUGAGCUGUAUUCACAAGAUGCAUCAGAUAUGCAUUACAGGGUGCGAGAGAAGAUAAAUCAGCGGCUAGACUGCAAUUUACUUGUCGGUUUGUACAAACA